rnacentral:lncRNA from 10 species
UCAAGCCUGGGCAAUGGCGGGCGCCCCUCCCCCAGCCUCGCUGCCGCCUUGCAGUUUGAUCUCAGACUGCUGUGCUAGCAAUCAGCGAGACUCCCUGGGCAUAGGACCCUACGAGCCAGGUGCGGGAUAUAAUCUCGUGUUGCACCGUUUUUUAAGCCUGUCGGAAAAGCGCAGUAUUCUGGUGGGAGUGACCCGAUUUUCCAGGUGCCGUCCAUCACUCCUUUCUUUGACUCAGAAAGGGAACUCCCUGACCCCUUGCGCUUCCCAAGUGAGGCAAUGCCUCGCCCUGCUUCGGCUCGCGCACGGUGCACGCACCCACUGACCUGCGCCCACUGUCUGGCACUCCCUAGUGAGAUGAACCCGGUACCUCAGAUGGAAAUGCAGAAAUCACCCGUCUUCUGCGUCGCUCACGCUGGGAGCUGUAGACCGGAGCUGUUCCUAUUCGGCCAUCUUGGCUCCUCCCUCUGAAGAAAGCAAUGUAGAAGACAGAUUGGAAGACUAGAAGACAGUCCGGAGGCCCCAGAGGAAGCUAAUGGUCUGAAAUAACAGCUUAAGAACAAAGAACUGUGAAUAGUUGCUCACCUCUGAAAAAUUCUCGAAGGAAUAGGUGAUCAUUGGGUUGAAGACGAACAGAAGAUGAUAAACUUGGAAGAUAAUAAACUUAAAAGUUAUGCCUUUCUUAUAUGGUAAAAGGACUUUCUCCUGAAAUGCAAUAAACUUGAGAUGACUAGGGGAAUGAACACGCAAUGGAAGCUGGAGAUAGACAUCUGGGAGGCCUCUGUAGGGCUCUCAUUCUUCUUUCUGACACCAUGUGAAGAAGGACAUGUUGGCUUCCCCUUCUGCCAUGAUUAGUCCAACAGAAAAUUUUAAGUACCUGUUUAAAGCAAUUUACAAGAUACUGUGGAGAUUCCCAGCAAUAAAGAAUGUACUAUAGUUAAGCUGGAAUCCAACUCCUGAAUUUCUGGAGCCCUGAAGACCACUUAGUCUUACUCACAAGAAUUGAAUGGAAUGUGAAUCUACACUCAGGUGAAGCCAGGGUAUUUUGAACGUCCCUACAAGACUGAAGCACCACUGGGAAAUAAGUAAUAGAGAUGCCAUCAUUGUGGAGGUCAUAAUGCUUGUCCUGAACACGAGGGGUCUCUAGUGAGGCACCAAUUCAGCUCCUCUUCUGUGGAGAGACUACAUGGGUGCUGAAGAAACAAAGACACAACGCAGCUCCUCUCAAAGGAGUUCAGAGCUUAGCAGGGGAGACAGAACCAUGAAUGCAUAGUUACGCAUCAAUGUGCUGCACGAGCACUGAAGCCCAAGCACAAGCGGCCUGAGUCCCAAAAACAUUUGCUGACUGCUGUUCUAUCUAGGAUAUCAUCAGUGUGUAGAUGAUCAGAGUUCAUGUCAGUGUUCCUACAAGCCAAUGAAGGUAGGAUUCAACAAAAAACAGAGAUCUGUGUUCUGAAUGGAAAAAUUCCUACUGAUGCCACCCACUAGUCUGGAACAAGUCAGUCUCAAACAUAACAACAGACACUGGGGAGCUCUCCAACAAAAGAUCACCUCCCAAAGAACAGGAUGGUGUCGAAGACUGAAUGCCAGCCUGAGGAAACAGAAAUACUACAGAAGCACGCCAGAGCCUGCAGUGUCUCCUCGCUGCCUCUCAAUGAACUGCUAAAAGACCAAGAACUCUGCUGAGAGAUAAGAAGAGGGGAGGGUGUGCUGCAGGUGGUGCUGGGAGGCCCAGACCUUCUCCUGACAUCUGGGGCUGGCUACAGGAAACAGAAACAUCACCCAGGCCUUGGCGCGAGACAGGACAGAGGCAGAUUGUGACUCAGAUCUGCAGGUGGAAAGUGGGCCUUUCGUUUUCUCCUAGGGGUAGAGCAAAGCCAGAGGGCUCAGUCAGAGGAAACCUAAGGCAGUUCAUGAUCCCUUCAACUUUAUACCAUUUCCUCAAAACUGCCUCCAAACAGUGGGCAACUGGAAAGGUGGUCUGACCUCCAGUGAUCACACAGUAUGCAUUAUAACAGAAGGCUGUCACUGUCAAUUGCAUGGCUCCCUCACUAUGCAUUCCUUCUAUCAAUUUACGACAACACACUGUAGUGAGUACCUGCACAUUGCUGGGUAUUUUGGCAGACAUUGAUAGUAGAUGAAUAACACCUGGUACUUGACCUUGAGACGCUCACUGCCUAGUGUGGGGAACCAAUGGUUGCAAUAUAAAGUAUUAACUAGAGGGAUAGAGGACUGCCUGAGGAUCUCUGCACUCAGAGGAAGGGCCAUGAGAUCAGCCAGGACAGUAGGGAGGCAGUGACUCAUGAAAUUAGCAAGUGGUGAGAAGAGGGCAGUAGAUUCAGCGGCUGCUAAAAAAGGUUACUGAACUUUUUGUUUCAUCAAUGCCAAGAAAUUAAUCUGUUUUAGCCUCUUUCAUGGCCUCUGUUUGAAAUUUUUUAACUUUUUUUUUUUUUUUAGAUUUAGGGGUACAAGGACAGUUGUAUUGCAUGAGUAUAUCAUAUAGUGGUGAAGCCUGGGCUUUAAGUGCACCUAUCACCCGAAUAGCGUACAUUGUACCCACUAGGUAGUAUUUCAUUUCUCACCCUUCUUCCACCUUUUGGAAUCUCCAGUGUUUGUUGUUCUACUCUGUAUGCCCAUGUGUACUCAUUGUUUCACUCCCACUUAUAAGUGAGAACAUGUGCUUUUGACUUUCUGUUUCUGAGUUGUUUCACUUAGGAUAAUGCAUGUUCCUGUUUUGAUUCAGUCAAAAUCCUGGGGUCAGCACUGACAAUGUGAUUAACCCCUGUCCUAAAUUCACUGCAGAGGAACUGCUCCCAUAUGACUACUUAUUACCACCCAAGCCAGAAACCACAAAGAUAUUCUGACCUCUCCUCCUUCACUCCCCACCAACUGGUGAGUAAGCUAGUCACCAAGUCUUGAUUCUACUUGCAAACAUCUUUGGAAGGGAUCUCUCACUCCACACAGUCUCUGUCAUUGCCAAGUAUACCCAUUACCUCUGCUCUGUCCUACGGCUCAUCAUUCCUCAUCUACAUGCUGCACCAACCUCCUAACUCCCAUUCCUCCCCCUCCUAGUUCACUGCCAUAGCGUAAUCUUUCUAUAUCACGGAUCAUAUUGUGUCCGAAAUUGGUGGGUUCUUGGCCUCACUUACUUCAAGAAUGAAGCUGCAGACCCUCGUGGUGAGCGUUACAGUUCUUAAAGGUGAUGUGUCUGGAGUUUGUUCCUUCUGAUCAUGUUCGGAGUUUCUUCCUUCUGGUGGGUUCGUGGUCUCGUUGGCUUCAAGAGUGAAGCUGCAAACCUUCAAGGUGAGUGUUACAGCUCUUAAGGCAGCGCAUCUGGAGUUGUUUCUUCCUCC